GACGAACGCUGGCGGCGUGCUUAACACAUGCAAGUCGAACGGAAAGGCCCUGCUUGCAGGGUACUCGAGUGGCGAACGGGUGAGUAACACGUGGGUGAUCUGCCCUGCACUUCGGGAUAAGCUUGGGAAACUGGGUCUAAUACCGGAUAGGAGCCAUCUUUAGUGUGGUGGUUGGAAAGUUUUUUCGGUGUAGGAUGAGCUCGCGGCCUAUCAGCUUGUUGGUGGGGUAAUGGCCUACCAAGGCGGCGACGGGUAGCCGGCCUGAGAGGGUGUACGGCCACAGUGGGACUGAGAUACGGCCCAGACUCCUACGGGAGGCAGCAGUGGGGAAUAUUGCACAAUGGGGGCAAGCCUGAUGCAGCGACGCCGCGUGGGGGAUGAAGGCCUUCGGGUUGUAAACUCCUUUCGCUAGGGACGAAGCUUUUUUGUGACGGUACCUAGAUAAGAAGCACCGGCUAACUACGUG
rnacentral:rRNA from 1 species